rnacentral:rRNA from 1 species
AUGUCGUUACUCCAUCAAAUUCCACGGCUGCAGCAUGAAGUCCUAGACCAGCGGCGGCAGCUCCACGAGCGACGGAGCGAGGACGCCCGCGCUACCCGGAUAGUCGCGGGCCACCACGCGUCGAAUCAGGACCGCCCCGACGGGCUCGACCACAAGGAUGAGGACCGCGGCGAGCUGCUCUCCGCGCUCCUCACCGGCACGAGCGCCGACAAGGAGGAAACAGAAGAAGCUGGCCCGUCAGAGGUAGCGACGGUGGCCUCUCUGUUCGUCGCAGUGACACAGACGACAAUGGUCGGAUCAGGCCGGGCAUUCCUUCACUGUGGUUGUAUCACCUCGAUAUAUCAGUUGAGUGAAAUGUCAUUUAUCGAAAAAAUCUGCAAGCAUGAUGGCGGUGCUCGUCUGAAGUAUCGUGGGCGCUCGCUGGCGGCAUACAUGGAUUUUUUGUCUGGUGCAAGGGCAGCGACUAUCGCAGGAGGAGUGGCCAAUUCCAUGCCAAGACAAGGGCGUCCCGUAACGGCCGUGGUGGUGAUCCAAACUGCUCUUUGUUGGCCAACUCUUGUCCAAACCAUCUAUGUUGGUUGGAUGGGCCACGAGCCAUUUGGCCUUGUUGUAGCUCCACCAAUACUAAUGGGAGAACAAAGUUGUUUUUUAGAGAGCAGGGCCAAUCUAGACCUACAUCACUUCAAUUUUGUGGUGAUGAGGGGCGCCAAGGAAACUGUAGAAGAAGUCUUGGACUGCGGUGAAGAGACUUAUUAUCCAGCAUUACAUGUUGGUUCAGAGCGAUCCUGUGCUGUGGUCAAAAGUAUUCUGACAGUUCGUGCUGAAAUAGAGACGCCAGUUAGUGCUGUUUCCAUUAGGAGGAUUCCAAGAUGCUUCUCGACCCAAUUUGAGCAGCAGAGCACUAGCACCAAGCUCUGGGUUUUGUUCGGUACACUCUGA